rnacentral:rRNA from 1 species
UACGUAGGGGGCGAGCGUUGUCCGGAAUCAUUGGGCGUAAAGAGCGUGUAGGCGGACUUAAAGGUCUGGUGUGAAAGCCCGGGGCUCAACCCCGGUGGGUCACUGGAAACCAUAAGUCUUGAAUCUGGAAGAGGAGAGUGGAAUUCCUGGUGUAGCGGUGGAAUGCGCAGAUAUCAGGAGGAACACCAAUGGCGAAGGCAGCUCUCUGGUACAUGAUUGACGCUGAGACGCGAAAGCGUGGGGAGCGAACAGG